GACGAACGCUGGCGGCGUGCUUAACACAUGCAAGUCGAACGGUGAACGAGGGAGCUUGCUCCCUCCGGAUCAGUGGCGAACGGGUGAGUAACACGUGAGCAAUCUGCCCCGAACUCUGGGAUAAGCGUUGGAAACGACGUCUAAUACCGGAUACGACGCGGGAGGGCAUCCUCUCCGCGUGGAAAGAACUUCGGUUCGGGAUGAGCUCGCGGCCUAUCAGCUUGUUGGUGAGGUAACGGCUCACCAAGGCGACGACGGGUAGCCGGCCUGAGAGGGUGACCGGCCACACUGGGACUGAGACACGGCCCAGACUCCUACGGGAGGCAGCAGUGGGGAAUAUUGCACAAUGGGCGCGAGCCGGAUGCAGCAACGCCGCGUGAGGGACGACGGCCUUCGGGUUGUAAACCUCUUUUAGCAGGGAAGAAGCGAAAGUGACGGUACCUGCAGAAAAAGCACCGGCUAACUACGUG
rnacentral:rRNA from 1 species